AUCGGGUCGUGUCAAAAAUUGUCAGGCCUAUGUUUACAUCUUUGCUCUUUGCAUUUGACUCAGAUAGGAAGAAUCUUCUCAGCAAACUUUGCAGACCCACCUCAAAUUUUCUUUUAAAAGAAAAUUGAAGAAGAAAAGAUUGUUUUAUUUGUAAUUUUUAUACACAAAAUAUGUUCCAUUGUAAAUUAAUAAGUGCAUAGAGGGAGACUCGAAGUUGAAUGAAUAGAGUAAAACAUAUUUGCUAGUUAAUUUGACUAUGCCAAAAUCUAUGAAUAAAUUGUCUUUAAUACUGACGUUGCACAAGCGAAGAGGGAUAUAAACAUAUGCUCUUGAAUAACUAAGUUUUCUAGGAUCCAUCAAAAUUUGAGAGAACUAAAAAAGUUAUGUUAUUAAUUAUUAAUUGAUAAAUAAAAUAGAAGCCAAAAGGCUUAAAUAGACAUAACCAGACCUUGGAAAGUUCAGAUUAGACCUUGGGAAGUUCAUAGGAGGUCUUAGGAAAUAAAAAGACAUUAAUCGGAUAGAAAAACGAAAAAUCUCAUUUUUAUUACAAACUUUCAAAUGCUGUUAUGGGAGUCGAACAUCAAAUUUGUAAAUUCACUUGUCUUCCUUCAGCUCAUUUCAUCUUCAAUCUAUUACCUCUACCUUAAUUCUUACCAUUUCGUCUUUAAUCCAAAAUUUAAAAUAUUUUAUUUUAUUUCUUUUUAUGUCGAAAUUGACCAAAAUCUUAUGCUACAUCAAAUACAAUAAUAUUACACCUAAAGUCUCGAGUUUGACGCCCCGCUCUUCACUAUCGCUUGUAUAAAAAGAAUACACAUACUGUGACGGCAACAUUUGGCUAUUUCAUUGGUGGUCCUAAAUAGACCUAUCGUACCCUUUUGAAUCUUUUAUUUUCUAUUCUUUUUGCCCACUUAAUGCCCUCCUCUAUCUGCAUCAUCGAACCCUUCACCAAGAAGAAAAACCGAAAAUGAAAAAACAGAACUGUGGUUGCACCACAAAAUAUUGAAUUAUUUGGUUGGUUAGUCUGGCAAGCACUGCAGAGGACGGUUUGGUAGUUGUAAAUUUCGUCUAUUUCUUAGGACUCUUUUAAAUGUUCCAGAGUAUCUGGUACUUCAAGUGUUAUAGAUGUUAAAUCUUUGUUUAAAAAAUAAAAAAUCUUAAUCUAACAGUUAAAACACCAAAAAUGUACCGGGUACUCCAUGCACCCAAAAAUUUCUACUAUCUCUCUACACAAAAUUUGCUAUAUACAUUUGUGGAUACAAAUUUCGGCCUUCUCAUUCUUGGACGAAAAUGCACAUGCAAAACAAUUACCACUUUAGGUUAAGGCCAAGAGCAUCAUGCGCCCACGAUGAAUUUGGGGAGAGGGGGGGCUUUGGCCGAAGAACCUUCGAUGCCAAAGUUAGAAUUUGAGAGUUUAGAGAAAUUUGGAGAAUUUUAGAAGAGAAUUGGAUAUAGGUUUUUGGGAGAAAUGGGAGCUAUUUAUAGGGGUGUGGCUGACCCCUAUUUGGAGAAAAUGGGUCCGGCCACUUAUGGUGGUUUUUUUGGUGUAAUUGCAAGAUAUUAUGUCAAAAUAGCAAUCAAUUAGGAAAUUAAUUAGAAAAUUAAUUAAUUAAUUCAGGUAAUUAAUCCUAAUUUGAAUGAAUAAUUGAGGGUUACCUUGUGGCGAGGAUUUGAUGAGGAUGGAUGAAAUAGGUUUUGAAUAAAUACCUAUUUUGAUCACUUUUGACCUUGAUUGAGUUGUGAUUGCCUGUUGCUUGCACGUGAGAGUUUUGGUGUAGCUUGAGGGUAAUUUUGUCAUUUUCAUCCAAAAGUACACGUGUCACCUCCAUAAUUUUCUUGAUUAUUUUUUACUCCACAAAUACCCCCACGCUUGCUAAGCUGCUCGUAGGAAAGGGCAGUAGGUGUAGAGAUCUCCAGCUUUGAUGCAAAUUCUCACUUGGAUUUGGAAUUAGAUUCUUCUAGGAAAGGGAAAUAAAUCGCCUCCAAAGCCUAUUUAAGCCUACCUUAAGUAGGGGAUUAAAUCAACUUCGGAGGGUAAUUAUUUAUGCCUACAAGAAAGAGAAAAAACUAAAGGAUAUUUGUUCCUCCUCCCCUAGCACUCUUCUUUGCUUGCCUGUGCAAAGAAUCGUCUUCCGUUGAUUUCUUUGUCUUAUCCACACCGCACUGAUGUAAGAAAAACUUAAUUCUCAUUGUCUUCUUCUUGGGUGGUGUUGCCACGGGGCAACCAUCAGGAUGGUGCGACAUGUCGGCUGGCAGGGGCCAAGAGUCGAUUUAGCAUGGGCCUAGGAGGUGGUGUGGCAAUGGUCACUGCUUGUGCUGCUCG
rnacentral:lncRNA from 1 species